GAUCCUGGCUCAGGAUGAACGCUGGCGGCGUGCUUAACACAUGCAAGUCGAACGAAGCACUUUACCGGAUUUCUUCGGGAUGAAAGUUUUGUGACUGAGUGGCGGACGGGUGAGUAACGCGUGGGUAACCUGCCUCGUACAGGGGGGAUAACAGUUAGAAAUGACUGCUAAUACCGCAUAAGACCACAGGAUUGCAUGAUCCGGUGGUAAAAACUCCGGUGGUAUGAGAUGGACCCGCGUCUGAUUAGG
rnacentral:rRNA from 1 species